CUACGGGAUGCUGCAGUGAGGAAUAUUGCGCAAUGGGGGAAACCCUGACGCAGCGACGCCGCGUGUGUGAAGAAGGCCUGCGGGUUGUAAAGCACUUUCGGUUGGGAGGACUGCUUCUAGCACUAAUAUUGUUGGAAGUUGACGUUACCUUCAGAAGAAGCACCGGCUAACUCCGUGCCAGCAGUCGCGGUAAUACGGGGGGUGCAAGCGUUAAUCGGAAUUACUGGGCGUAAAGCGCGCGUAGGCGGCGAGAUCAGUCGGGUGUGAAAGCCCCGGGCUUAACCUGGGAACUGCAUCCGAUACUGUCUAGCUUGAGUACAGGAGAGGAGAGUGGAAUUCCACAUGUAGCGGUGAAAUGCGUAGAUAUGUGGAGGAACACCAAUGGCGAAGGCAGCUCUCUGGCCUGAUACUGACGCUGAGGUGCGAAAGCGUGGGGAGCAAACAGGAUUAGAUACCCGCGUAGUC
rnacentral:rRNA from 1 species